CGGGGUAUAGCGCAGCCUGGUAGCGCACCAGUCUGGGGGACUGGUGGUCGUCGGUUCAAAUCCGGCUACCCCGACCA
rnacentral:tRNA from 21 species